ensembl:lncRNA
CUGGCCUAACAUCCUGUAUGUCUGUUCUCUCCUUCAUAUAGAAACAAGGUGCUGCUGGCCUAACAUCCUGUAUGUCUGUUCUCUCCUUCAUAUAGAAACAAGGUGCUGCUGGCCUAACAUCCUGUAUGUCUGUUCUCUCCUUGAUAUAGAAACAAGGUGCUGCUGGCCUAACAUCCUGUAUGUCUGUUCUCUCCUUCAUAUAGAAACAAGGUGCUGCUGGCCUAACAUCCUGUAUGUCUGUUCUCUCCUUCAUAUAGAAACAAGGUGCUGCUGGCCUAACAUCCUGUAUGUCUGUUCUCUCCUUGAUAUAGAAACAAGGUGCUGCUGGCCUAACAUCCUGUAUCUAUGCAUCUUUGUUCACUUGAAACUGAAAUGUAAAAAUGUCAACAUAUUUACUCUGUCUGGUUUAAAUAGUGAUCUGCAAGGGGAGACAAAGUGCUCGCUGGCACUGAACACUCUCUCUGACGGCACGCUGGUUGCUGCGAUGCAUAAAAGCUUCCUGGCAACCCUGGCAAGGCGAGGCAGCUCUGAUGCAGGGCCCCUCCACCACACCAGUGGAUCCUCUUCAGCUGGAAUGGAUGGCAGAGACCGGUAGACCUUGAUCUCUUCUUUCACUCUGUAUUCUGGGGAGGUCAGAAUCUGACCCUCUUCACCUCUCUGCUGCCUUGUUGAGGUAAUCCUUCUCAGCAACCCAGCCAGGCCUUUCCUCUCCGAUGCCGCUGUGGGGGUGGUGGAGGCGUUGCUGGUGCUUUGUGGUUCUUCCCUGACUUGUGCAGCUGUCAGCUUCAAAGCCUCCUGGACACAGCUGUCAGUGUCAACGUUUGCAGCCUCAGGCUCAUCUAACAAGCUCCUUUUGAAGCAGGGGACAAUGAAACAAGCCAUGUGCACGACUCUCUUUGCCUUCUCUGUGUAUGUUGUUAAGGUCUUCUCUCAUUACCCUUUUCAUCUCCUUAGUCAGGGACGGCUCCGUAUCCAUUUCCACCAGAACAUCACGGGUGAUGUGGUCCAGGACAUAUUCUCAAAAAAACUCUGAUGUUGUGAGCCGAGUGAUCUUCUGGGAAGAACUGUGUUUCCAGGCAGUUUGAUUCCAGUUGCCAGUCUGGGGUGAGGUAAUGGAUAGUGACGCUGAUGUAGGGUUGAACCACCCCCACUUUCACUGGUCCAGAGGUCAGUAGUUGCAGCAAAACAUGUGCCUUGAGCCCAAAAUUUUCCAACAUCAGCUUUAACCUGGUUGUACAGGUUUGGGAUGUCAGUCUUGGAAAAUAAUGUUGGUGAUGGCACUUUGUCGUGGGGCACAGCAACCUUCACCAGCCACAGAAAUCCAGGCCUCUCAACAAUAUGAAAUGGCAUCAUGUCCUUUGCAAUGUAAUAUGAAAGGGCUGCAGUGAGGUCUUGAGCAUGUUUUGAUGUGGGUGCAUUAGCAGCCUGCUUUUUAAAUGCUUGCUGGAGUGUCUGUCACAAUCGUAGAUGAGGGACCAGUAGCGUCACUGGGUUUACUGCAUGACCCUCUGU